rnacentral:lncRNA from 1 species
CAGAGACCACCACACCCACAGACCAGCAGACCACCCCCCAGCCCCACCACUGACAGAGACCACCACACCCACAGCCCCACCACUGACAGAGACCACCACACCCACAGCCCCACCACUGACAGAUACCACCACAGGCACAGUCACACCACUGACAACCACCACCACAGGGACCACCACACCCAGAGCCACGCCACUGACAGAGACCCCCAGAAAAACCACUACAGCCACAGUCAUACCACGGACAGAGACCACCACACCCACAGUCACACCACUGACAGAGACCACCACAGAAACCGCCACACGCACAGUCACACCACUGACAAAGACUACAACAGAAACCACCACAGUCACAGCCACUCCACUGACAGAGACAACCAGAGAGACUACCAUAUCCAUAACCCCAAUACAGACGGAGACCACCACACGCACAGCCCCACCACUGACAGAGACCACCUCACGCACAGCCCCACCACCGACAGAGACCACGACAGCCACACCACUGACAACCACCACCACAGAGACCACCACACCCAGAGCCAUGCCACUGACAGAGACCACCACACCCACAGUCACACCACUGACAGAGACCACUACAAAAACCACUACACCCACAGCCACACCACUGACAAAGACUACAACAGAAAGCACCACAGUCACAGCAACUCCACUGACAGAGACAAUCAGAGAGACUACCACACCCACAGCCACACCACUGACAAAGACCACCACAGCCACACCACUGACAAAGACCACCACAGCCACACCAUUGACAAAGACCACCACAGCCACACCACCGACAACCACCACCACAGGGACCACCACACCCACAGCCCCACCACUGACAGAGACCACCAGAGCCACAUCACUGACAACCACCACCACAGAGACCACCACACCCACAGCCCCACCACUGACAGAGACCACCACAGCCACAUCACUGACAACCACCCCCACAGAAACCGCCACACGCACAGUCACACCACUGACAAGGACUACAACAGAAUUUACCAUAGUCACAGCCACUCCACUGACAGAGACAACCAGAGAGACUACCAUAUCCACAGCCCCAAUUCUGACAGAGACCACCACACACACAGCCCCACCACCGACAGAGACCACCGCAGCCACACCACUGACAACCAUCACCACAGAGACCACCACACACACAGCCCCACCACUGACAGAGACCACUACAAAAACCACUACACCCACAGCCACACCACUGACAAAGACCACCACACCCACAGUCACACCACUGACAGAAACCACCACAGAAACCGCCACACGCACAGUCACACCACUGACAAAGACUACAACAGAAAGCACCACAGUCACAGCCACUCCACUGACAGAGACAACCAGAGAGACUACCACACCCACAGCCCCACCACUGACAGAGACCACCACAGCCACACCACUGACAACCACCACCACAGGGACCACCACACCCACAGCCCCACCACUGACAGCGACCACCACAGCCACACCACUGACAACCACCACCACAGGGACCACCAUACCCACAGCCCCACCACUGACAGAGACCACCACAGCCACACCACUGACACCAGACAGGAACCACACAGAGCAAGAAAAACCACUACACCCACAGUCAUACCACUGACAGAGACCACCACACCCACAGUCACACCACUGACAGAGACCACCACAGAAACCGCCACACGCACAGUCACACCACUGACAAAGACUACAACAGAAACCACCACAGUCACAGCCACUCCACUGACAGAGACAACCAGAGAGACUACCAUAUCCACAGCCCCAAUACUGACGGAGACCACCACACGCACAGCCCCACCACCGACAGACACCACCACCCUCACAGCCCCGCCACUGACAGAGACCACCACACCCACAGCCCCACCACUGACAGAGACCACCACACGCACAGCCCCACCACUGACAGAGACCUCCACAGCCACACCACUGACAACCACCACCACAGAGACCACCACACCCACAGCCCCACCACUGACAGAGACCACCACAGCCACACCACUGACAACCACCACCACAGAGACCACCACACCCACAGCCCCACCACUGACAGAGACCACCACAGGCACAGUCACACCACUGACAACCACCACCACAGGGACCACCACACCCAGAGCCACGCCACUGACAGAGACCACCACACCCACAGUCACACCACUGACAACCACCACCACACCCACAGCCCCAUCACUGACAACCACCACCACACCCACAGCCAUACCACUGACAAAGGCUACAACAGAAACCACCACAGUCACAGCCACUCCACUGACAGAGACAAUCAAAGAGACUACCAUAUCCACAGCCCCAAUACUGACAGAGACCACCACACGCACAGCCCCACCACUGACAGAGACCACCACAGCCACACCACUGACAACCUCCACCACAGAGACCACCACACCCACAGCCCCACUACUGACAGAGACCACCACAGCCACACCACUGACAACCACCACCACAGAGACCACCACACCCACAGCCCCACCACUGACAGAGACCACCACAGCCACACCACUGACCAUCACCAGCACAGAGACCACCACACCCACUGCCCCACUACUGACAGAGACCACCACAGCCACACCACUGACAACCACCACCACAGAGACCACCACACCCACAGCCCCACCACUGACAGAGAUCACAGCCACACCACUGACAACCACCACCACAGAGACCACCACACCCACAGCCCCACAACUGACAGAGACCACCACAGCCACACCACUGACGACCACCACACCCACAGCCCCACCACUGACAGAGACCACCACAGCCACACCACUGACAACCACCACCACAGGGACCACCACACCCAGAGCCACGCCACUGACAGAGACCCCCAGAAAAACCACUACACCCACAGUCAUACCACUGACAGAGACCACCACAGAAACCGCCACACGCACAGUCACACCACUGACAAAGACUACAGCAGAAACCACCACAGUCACAGCCACUCCACUGACAGAGACAACCAGAGAGACUACCAUAUCCACAGCCCCAAUACUGACAGAGACCACCACACGCACAGCCCCACCACUGACAGAGACCACCACAGCCACACCACUGACAACCACCACCACGGAGACCACCACACCCAUAGCUCCACCACUCACAGAGACCACCACAGCCACACCACUGACCACCACCAUCACAGAGACCACCACACCCACAGCCCCACCACUGACAGAGACCACCAAAAAAACCACCACACCCACAGUCAUACCACUGACAGAGACCACCACACCCACAGUCACACCACUGACAGAAACCACCACAGAAACCGCCGCACGCACAGUCACACCACUGACAAAGACUACAACAGAAACCACCACAGUCACAGCCUCUCCACUGACAGAGACAACCAGAGAGACUACCAUAUCCACAGCCCCAAUACUGACGGAGACCACCACACGCACAACCCCACCACCGACAGACACCACCACCCCCACAGCCCCACCACUGACAGAGACCACCACACGCACAGCCCCACCACUGACAGAGACCACCACAGCCACACCACUGACAACCACCACCACAGAGACCACCACACCCACAGCCCCACCACUGACAGAGACCACCACAGGCACAGUCACACCGACAACCACCACCACAGGGACCACCACACCCAGAGCCACGCCACUGACAGAGACCACCACACCCACAGUCACACCACUGACAACCACCACCACACCCACAGCCCCAUCACUGACAACCACCACCACACCCACAGCCACACCACUGACAAAGGCUACAACAGAAAUCACCACAGUCACAGCCACUCCACUGACAGAGACAAUCAGAGAGACUACCAUAUCCACAGCCCCAAUACUGACAGAGACCACCACACACACAGCCCCACCACUGACAGAGGCCACCACAGCCACACCACUGACAACCACCAUCACAGAGACCACCACACCCACAGUCACACCACUGACAGAGACCACCAUACCCACAGCCCCACCACUGACAGAGACCACUACAAAAACCACUACACCCAUAGCCACACCACUGACAAAGGCUACAACAGAAACCACCACAGUCACAGCCACUCCAGUGACAGAGACAAUCAGAGAGACUACCACACCCACAGCCACACCACUGACAGAGACCCAUACAUCCACAGUCACACCACUGACAACCACCACCACAGGGACCACCAGACGCACAGUCACACCACUGACAAAGACUACAACAGAAUCCACCACAGUCACAGCCACUCCACUGACAGAGACAACCAGAGAGACUACCAUAUCCACAGCCCCACCACUGACAGAGACCACCACAGCCACACCACUGACAACCACCACCACAGAGACCACCACACACACAGCCCCACCACUGACAGAGACCACCAGAAAAACCACCACACCCACAGUCAUACCUCUGACAGAGACCAGCACAGAAACCUCCACACGCACAGUCACACCACUGACAGAGACUACAACAGAAACCACCACAGCCACACCAGUGACAAAUACCACCACAGGGAUCACCACACCCACAGACACACCACUGACAAAGACUACCACACCCACAGUCCCACCACUGACAAAGACCACCACAGGUACCACUCAAGCCCAAAACUCGGUCAGCACAGUGAACUUCACAGCCCCAAUAUCACACUCUACUUCAGCCAUCCUCCCUGUGACCACUUCUCCAGCACUCAGCACUAUCUCCCAUACAUCCACCAGUAGAGGCACUGGGACACCCAUGACACGCACUACAACAGCCGCCCCCACUAGGCCACACAUGCCAUUCACCACUCACUCCCGUGCCACCGUUUCUGUCCAUACCACCUCUCACACAACAGCUCUGCCAGCAGGAACAUCCUUCCGGCCCACCACCACCCAUUCCACCCCAUCACAUCCAGAGACCCUUCCCGUCCACGUGUCAACAUCUGUGACUUCCACCUCUCACCGAGUCAUCACCCCAACUGAGUCCCAUGCUACCUACUCCACCACAAAGCCUACUGGCACCCCAACGCCAUUGACACACAUCCUGGUCACAUCCACGGCACCCACAUCCAUGUCCUCACUGUCGACAACAACAACAGGGAGCACCACACCCACAACCCUGCCACUCACAAAGACCACAACAGGGACCACUCAGGCCCAGAGCCCGGUCAGCACGGUGCCAGCACAAAGCUCUAGCUUCCCCUCUCCAUCAUCUUCUCCGGCUUCUCUGAACCCAAGCCGAAGUCCUCUAACCACUUCUGUUUCCGUGUCGACUCUGCCCCAUUACCCCCCUUCUUCCACUGUCUCGACCCCCUCCUCCUCGCCCACUGCUUCCUCUCCUCCUCCUCACGGGUCCUCGAACACCUCUCCUUUGAUAUCAUCUUCCCCCUCCCCUUCUGCAGUCUCCACUUCACACAGCAUCCCAAGUGUCAGCUCAGCUCCACACCGUCCCUCGCCCUCUGCACCUCUGACCGAGUCACAGACAGCAUCCCUGCUGACCAGCCCCCCUUCCCCCGCCGCCUCCACACCCAUCAGGCCCUCCCUCUCACCUCCAUCAGCUCCGACGCUGUCCCCUGCCCCCACUGUUAGUACCGUCAUCCUGUCUACACCCCGGACCACAGUCAGCAGCCCCACCUCCUCCGUCCCGUCCUCUCAGUCCACCACCGCACAGGCCACCUCUCUCACCACCCAAACCCCCACCCACGGCCUCCUGUCUUCUACGCUGGGCGUGACAGCCGUCCCAAGUUCUCCAGCCACCAACCUCACCACCAGACAGCCGAGUACCACCAGGCUGCAGACUACCGUGUUCCUGGCCAGCUCCAUCACUGCACACGAAAGCUCCUUCCUCCCCACCGCCGGGUCUGUGUCCACAGAGAGCCAGUCCAUCUCCACCUUUGCUACAUCUCUUCCCAGCUCUGCAGGUACUGAGACAGGCAGACCAGAGACACCUCCGUCCACAGGGGCCUGCAGCGUGAAGGAGUCGGAGGAAGAAGUCACUUUCCAGGGGUGCACGGCCAACAUCACGGUGACCCGCUGCGAGGGUGUGUGCGCCUCCUCGGCCAGCUUCGACAUGGACACCAUGCAAGUAGCCACCACCUGCAGCUGCUGCCGCCCUGUCAGCUCCUACGAGGCGGAGCUCGUGCUGCCCUGCACGGACCCUGCGGCGUGGGGGCAGCAGCUGGUGCUCACGGUGCAAGUGUUCAGCAGCUGUGCGUGCUGCCGCCAGCGCUGUGGAGACUAGAGCUCCAUCCACAAAACCGCCCGACACGCUGGGCCCCGCAGCCCCUUCCGAGGCACAGCCGUGGCCUCCGAGAGCCCUCGGAGGUGGCUCACCCGGGCCGCCGGAGAGAAAGGGGGUGCGGGCGGGGGUCCUGCAGACCCCGACGGGCCCCAGCAGGCUGCACGGGACUGGCUGGCCUCCGGGGCCACACAGGGCGCUGCCUGCCAUGCCCACUGCUCGUGCACAGCCUCCAGUCCUGCUGGGACUAAGACCGGGGGCAGAGCAGCACGGAAGGCUGUCCAGAAGGGGCUCCUGGGGAGGCCGGGCCCCCGAGCAGAGGGUCGGGGAGAGACACAGGUCACAGCAUGCAGAGGGAAGCGAAGGGGGGCACCCCACCUGCCUGCCGACAGGGCUCACCCUGGCGAGGGGGCACCCGGGCACCACACCCUGGCGAACAGACGGCAAUAAACUGGCCCUGGUCAAAGCACAAAGGCUCGCAGACUCCUGUUGGCUCCCGCGCCCGCGCACUCCUAAGUUCCCAGACCCACUCCGGGUCCACGGCACUGGCCCAACACCAGUCUAGGCCCAGAAG